AUUGAACGCUAGCGGGAUGCUUUACACAUGCAAGUCGAACGGGUGGCGGACGGGUGAGUAAUAUAUCGGCACGUGCCCAGUAGAUGGCGUUAACUACUGGAAGGUGAUGCUAAUUCCGCAUACUUUUGGAGCGGCCGAUAUCGGAUGAGCUAGUUGGUGGGGUAAAGGCACACCAAGGCCACGAACCGUUGCUGGUUUGAGAGGACGACCAGCAACACUGGGACUGAGACACGGUCAAGACUCCUACGGGAGGCAGCAGUGGGGAAUAUUGGACAAUGGGGGAAACCCUGAUCCAGCCAUGCCGCGUGUAUGAGAAGGCCUUCGGGUUGUAAAGUACUUUUGGCAGGGAAGCGGUAUCUGCAGAAGAAGCACCGGCUAACUACGUGCCAGCAGCCGCGGUAAUAC
rnacentral:rRNA from 1 species